GAAUAUUGGACAAUGGGGGAAACCCUGAUCCAGCAAUGCCGCGUGUGUGAAGAAGGCCUGCGGGUUGUAAAGCACUUUCAGUAGAGAAGAAAAAAUUCGGGGCGAAUACCCCCGGAUCUUGACGUAACCUACAGACGAAGCACCGGCUAACUCCGUGCCAGCAGCCGCGGUAAUACGGAGGGUGCGAGCGUUAAUCGGAAUUACUGGGCGUAAAGCGCACGUAGGCGGUCUGUUAAGUCGGAUGUGAAAGCCCUGGGCUUAACCUGGGAAUUGCACUCGAUACUGGCAGGCUGGAAUAUGGGAGAGGGAAGUGGAAUUUCCGGUGUAGCGGUGAAAUGCGUAGAUAUCGGAAGGAACAUCAGUGGCGAAGGCGGCUUCCUGGCCCAAUAUUGACGCUGAGGUGCGAAAGCGUGGGUAGCGAACAGG
rnacentral:rRNA from 1 species